AACACAGGAAGAUGGUGGCUGAGUUGGGACUUUCUUUGGACUUCCCUGCACCAGGAGAAAGUCUAAGGUCUUUCUGCCGGGCACUCUCCUUUCCGUCGUGUUCACCUUCCGCAACUUGGCGUGGAGAUGGGCAUCUCCAAGAGAUGGGGAAGCAAGAGUGCGAUGGCCUAGAUUGCCACCUGGUUUGGGAAGGAAGAUGAGAGAAGAGCCGAUGGUCCUUUGGGGCAGGUGUGUUGUGGACCAAGUGCCUGUCAGUCUGAAUCCUAAAGUCCCACAAGAUCUUGAGUUUCUCAUUCUCUAAAACUUUCUCAACCUGAUGUUCCCAGUGGUUUUUGCUGUACUCAAAUCCAAACUUCUGGCACAAUUUCCAGUGAAUGAUUUUAGCAACGCGGUCAUGGCGUUCUCAGCCUUUGAAACCAAGCCAGUCUUCUUUCAUAUUUAAUUACCCAGGCGGCUGAUACCACCAGCAUUAUAUCAAGAAGCAUUGGACUAAGGACUAAGGAACGAAGGUGGCCUGGCACAGGAAGGCAAGCUGGGGAGAGGGGAGAUGGUGAAGGACCUGGAAUCCUGAAUUCCCCGUGUUGAGAGGCACAAGGUUGGCGCCUCUAACUCAGCUUUGGUUUGUAGGCAGUGUAGUUAGCUGAUUGUGUAUCUCCCCAGCAAUCACUAGCUUCACUGUCAACAAAACAAUCCGCAGAAUUCUUCAAUCUCCAGGAAGCUUCCUAGCUGGAACCCAAGGAAUUACACCCAUUAUUCAGAUCUCCUGAUCCGUGUUAAGAGGUUACCAACUCAACAGCGAGGAAGACAACCAACCAGUCGUAAGAAAACGCUGGAGCAAAGAAGUAGUGGAGACACUCCCAGCUUCUGCAUAGUUUUGUGAUGGCCACACAGUGAGGACAGUUGGACAAAUUCCAGGGUUCUCUUGUGGCAGAUUGGUGGCAGAACCUAUCAUGGAAAGCUGGUAUGAAGAGCAGCUGUUGACUUCAAGGCCCUACAUGAAGUGAAAUGAAGAACAGGUCCCAAGCCAACAAGAACUUCCAAAAGCCCAUGGGUGGGACUCCUGCCCUGAUGGGGAAUUGGGUGAUGGUCCCGCUAAUGGGUACCAGAUGGUGAAGUUCAGAAAGCAGAAUCUAGAGGAGCUUUGGCUAGUCUCUUGCCCUCUGCAAUUUUGUCUGGGUAGCAUGAAAUGAGUAUCUUAAAGACAGAAAAUCCAGAUUUCAUCCAUUUGGAAACCACUGAGGGAGCCUGGAUGAUCUCUAAAGACAAAGAAUUGGGUGGGGGGAGAGAAAUUAGGCCCUGAGCUUAAACAUCAGCCUUGUCACCAGGCAGUGUAGUUAGCUGAUUGACCAAGGUAACAGUCGCUAACAACACAGCCAAGUGAAAAGGUGGCCUCUCCCUGCAGUUUUUUGCAAAUUUGCUGGAUGGAUUAGUCAACGUCUACAGGUUGAAGGGUUGAAGGCACCCUGUGUAGGACUGUAAAGGAGAGUUCUUCAACCCCAGCGGCUUUAAGAGGGUGGGGGGACUUCAGCAUAGCUGGCUGGGGAAUUCUGGGAAUUGAAGUCCACCCAUCUUCAAGUCUCUAAAGUUGAGAAACAUUGUACAGCGCCGAUCAGCUGAUCCCACCUUGAUGUUCUCCAAAGCAAGGAUCUCCAACCUUGGCAACUUUAAGACUUGUGGACUUCAACUCCUAGAAUUCCUCAGCCAGCUUUGCUUCUAAGAGUUGUGCAAGAAAAUCACCAAGCUCAGAGAGCGCUAAGGACCCCCACAGUUGCUCUCUCUUCCUCCUCCUCCUCCUCCUCCUCCUCCUCCUCCUCCUCCUCCUUCCUCUUGUUGAGUUGAAGUCCACAAGUCUUAAAGUUGCCAAGGUUGGAGACCCCUGCCCUGCUCCAAAGCUUUUGAGGCUGCUCUUCUCAACAUUGCCUAACCAACAUAGCUACUAUAGGGAUAAAUUCCAGAGAGUAAGUUUUAUCUCAGCCCUCAUCAACAAUCACUUUACAUAAUAGGAAAUCCCUGUUCUGAUUUAUUAACUUUUCAUUCGUUUAGACAGCAGUUCCCUGUCCAGAUGGGUGGUAAUUAAAUUCCUGGUUGAUCAAUGUGGGUCAUUUACCGGCAACUGCUGUGGCUUGAUAAGAGUGCUGACAGCCCAUAAUAUUCAGCUGACGGUCAGUUCCUAAAGGGAUUUGAUAUGAACGGAAAAGACAGAAGACAAAUGAAAGAGAUGAGUAAUUCUGCUUUCCUUCCCCCGUUAGCCAGCAAAGCAGCGAAAAUUAAGGCUAUGCGAAUGGAAAGAACGAAGGAUUUUUUAAAAAUGUUUUGGAAAAAAGGGUUUUAGUUUAAGAAGACUUCUCUUCAAGACCUCCUCUGUUGUUCAUUUGAGAUCUCUCUCCAAUAAAUGCCAACAUUAAAAGUC